rnacentral:tRNA from 1 species
GGUGGGAUGCUCGAGUGGUUAAUGAGGGCAGACUGUAAAUCUGUUGGCCUUGCGCCUACGUUGGUUCGAAUCCAACUCCCACCACCA